AGCGCUGGUCGGGGGUGGGCAGCGCGCCCUGGAAGUCGGCGCGGAAGGCGACGGCGCUGUUCUGCGCGAGGUUCGAGUACUCGCCGGCGCUG
rnacentral:tRNA from 2 species